rnacentral:lncRNA from 1 species
CAACCUUCCAGGCAACUAGAACUCUAGGCCUGUAUUUGAGAAAGGAUGGGCAGGUUCAGUUCACACCCCUCGGAGAAUGACUUCCAGUUUCACACAAUCCCAUCCCUGGUCUCUCUUCCAUUGCGUUUAUAGCCAUGGAGAGGUCUGAAGAAGUUAGCCCAGGAAAGACCACGCUCCUUAGGCAAGACUGGGACCCCAAAAAAACCUGGACGAGAGGGGGAAAAUCCUAGGAAAAGGGAGUGGAGACAGCCACCCACUAGGACAAGCAUCUACUCCUUCUCUCCUCUUCUUGGGCCAAGGAACACAGCUAACUAGUUAAUAUAAGAAACCAUUAGAAACUGCACUUCACUCCUCAGGAAGAGUUGACAUCUCUCACUGCCCUCUCGCCUCCAUUGUUCUUUCUCCUGGACAGUUGGAACUCAAGGUCCCCUUUCACUCCCUUCUUGAGUACCCCUAGCACUUGCUGGGUUGGUGGAGCAGGGAACUCUCGGUUCUCCACUCAGGACUUUCUGGAAGCCCAUCUUCGUAUGCUCACCAGCCCACCCUCCUACGCUGGUCAGAGUGAGAUUGCUAACCUCAAGACCCCAUUCAAUGCCAGCUUUCAACUACUGCUGAAGACCAAUGUAGGUCCUGGAAUAGAAGAACUGCAGAGUAUCCGGAGCUGGCCGACCCCAGACUGAUUCUCAACAGGUGGCUGGGUAGUGCCCCCCACCCUGUGUUGGUCGUGCGGGACCCAUCGCACACAGAGAAGCCACCUUACCCCUCACCUCACCCCGUCGGCCAAAGACUGACCACCCGCGCCCGAGUGUGGGGAGGGGUGGGAAUUCCGGAUCACACACACACACACACACACACACACACACCAGGGUAGGGGAACAGGGAAGAUCUUACCUGCAGAAAGGUAAGAGAAGCCGGGAGCGUGUAGCAGCGGCGGAUAAAUAUUCAUUAGGAAGUGUAAGUCCUUUCAAAGGGCUCCGCGCGCGCGCUCUAGCUCCUGUCUCUCUUUCUCUCCCUCCCUCUGUCCUCCAGGAAGGCUUCCCCUCCUCUAGCUAUCUCAACGCCCCCCCCCCCUUCCUGCGAAAUACCGGGUGGAUCCUAGGCUAGCUAACCUGUUGGGAAGCCUGAACUGCGGUAGCGCCUCUGCAGCUAGCAGUUUGCUUUCGCUCCUGGGGCGCGCGUCCCCCCCCAUCCCCUCCCCUCCUUCCUUUCGCCCAGCCCCUCACCCCUCCUAAAUCACUACAUCAUUAGCUUUAUUGGGCGGGGGGGGGGCGGGUAACGGAGCAGCCAGACGCACCUCUCCAUAGAAGGGUGAAUAGUUGGUGCCCUGCGAUGCAACCCCAACUCCAUCUCCACCUCAUUCUCACCCAUCUGCACAUCCUCAUCCAAUCUUGCUUCUUUUUCUUC